rnacentral:rRNA from 1 species
GAUGAACGCUAGCGGCAGGCUUAAUACAUGCAAGUCGAGGGGCAGCAUGGUGUAGCAAUACACUGAUGGCGACCGGCAAACGGGUGCGGAACACGUACAGAACCUUCCUUCGAGCGGGGAAUAGCCCAGAGAAAUUUGGAUUAAUACCCCAUAGUAUAUUGAAAAGGCAUCUUUUUAAUAUUAAAGAUUUAUCACUUGAAGAUGGCUGUGCGGCUGAUUAGGUAGUUGGCGGGGUAACGGCCCACCAAGCCUGCGAUCAGUAACUGGUGUGAGAGCACGACCAGUCACACGGGCACUGAGACACGGGCCCGACUCCUACGGGAGGCAGCAGUAAGGAAUAUUGGGCAAUGGACGAAAGUCUGACCCAGCCAUGCCGCGUGGAGGAUGAAGGUCCUCUGGAUUGUAAACUUCUUUUUUCUGGGGCGAAAACCGGUUUUUCUAAACCAUUUGACAGUACCAGAAGAAUAAGCACCGGCUAACUCCGUGCCAGCAGCCGCGGUAAAAC